CCUACGGGUUGCACCAGUGGGGAAUAUUGCACAAUGGGCGCAAGCCUGAUGCAGCCAUGCCGCGUGUAUGAAGAAGGCCUUCGGGUUGUAAAGUACUUUCAGCGAGGAGGAAGGCAUUAAGGUUAAUAACCUUAGUGAUUGACGUUACUCGCAGAAGAAGCACCGGCUAACUCCGUGCCAGCAGCCGCGGUAAUACGGAGGGUGCAAGCGUUAAUCGGAAUUACUGGGCGUAAAGCGCACGCAGGCGGUCUGUCAAGUCGGAUGUGAAAUCCCCGGGCUCAACCUGGGAACUGCAUCCGAAACUGGCAGGCUAGAGUCUUGUAGAGGGGGGUAGAAUUCCAGGUGUAGCGGUGAAAUGCGUAGAGAUCUGGAGGAAUACCGGUGGCGAAGACGGCCCCCUGGACAAAGACUGACGCUCAGGUGCGAAAGCGUGGGGAGCAAACAGGAUUAGAUACCCGUGUAGUC
rnacentral:rRNA from 1 species